GACGGACGCUGGCGGCGUGCUUAACACAUGCAAGUCGAGCGGUAAGGCCCUUUCGGGGGUACGACGAGCGGCGAACGGGUGAGUAACACGUGGGUGACCUGCCCUCAGCUCUGGGAUAAGCCUGGGAAACCGGGUCUAAUACCGGAUAUGACUCCAUGACGCAUGUUGUGGGGUGGAAAGCCUUGUGCGGCUGAGGAUGGGCCCGCGGCCUAUCAGCUUGUUGGUGGGGUGAUGGCCUACCAAGGCGACGACGGGUAGCCGGCCUGAGAGGGCGACCGGCCACACUGGGACUGAGACACGGCCCAGACUCCUACGGGAGGCAGCAGUGGGGAAUCUUGCGCAAUGGGCGAAAGCCUGACGCAGCGACGCCGCGUGAGGGAUGACGGCCUGG
rnacentral:rRNA from 1 species